CUUGCUUCUCUUGAGAGCGGCGGACGGGUGAGUAAUGCCUAGGAAUCUGCCUGGUAGUGGGGGAUAACGUUCGGAAACGGACGCUAAUACCGCAUACGUCCUACGGGAGAAAGCAGGGGACCUUCGGGCCUUGCGCUAUCAGAUGAGCCUAGGUCGGAUUAGCUAGUUGGUGGGGUAAUGGCUCACCAAGGCGACGAUCCGUAACUGGUCUGAGAGGAUGAUCAGUCACACUGGAACUGAGACACGGUCCAGACUCCUACGGGAGGCAGCAGUGGGGAAUAUUGGACAAUGGGCGAAAGCCUGAUCCAGCCAUGCCGCGUGUGUGAAGAAGGUCUUCGGAUUGUAAAGCACUUUAAGUUGGGAGGAAGGGCAGUAAAUUAAUACUUUGCUGUUUUGACGUUACCGACAGAAUAAGCACCGGCUAACUCUGUGCCAGCAGCCGCGGUAAUACAGAGGGUGCAAGCGUUAAUCGGAAUUACUGGGCGUAAAGCGCGCGUAGGUGGUUAGUUAAGUUGGAUGUGAAAUCCCCGGGCUCAACCUGGGAACUGCAUUCAAAACUGACUGACUAGAGUAUGGUAGAGGGUGGUGGAAUUUCCUGUGUAGCGGUGAAAUGCGUAGAUAUAGGAAGGAACACCAGUGGCGAA
rnacentral:rRNA from 1 species